UCAGCUAAACCCCACCAAAAUACAAUUUCUCUGUGUUGAAAAAGGACAGAAAAGCGAAAUAUUCCGAUUUUUAUUCCCAAAUGAUCUUACAUAAUAUAUCUAAAGCAUAUUUAAAUAUAUAUUAUUGCAACCUGGGCAACUUUUUAAGAGGGGUGGACUUCAACUCCCACAAUUCCCAGCCAGCCUAUUUUAAGAUAUGUCCUAUUUUCUAAAAAAAGAAAGAAAAAAGAGACUAUUUUGUUCCCCCUCGCCAGAAAAAAAGACUUACUAAAUAUCUCUGAAACAAUAUUUUUCAACUUGGAUUACUUUUAAGCUUUGUAGCCUCCCAGCAUGCCCCAGCUGAAAUCCUAGACUGGUCCAGUUAAAAACUCCCAGAAUGCCCCAGCCAGCAUGCUGGAAUUGAGUUCUAAACAUUUUAAAGCUCCCAAGUGUGAAAUAAAAAAAAAAAUGGUUUAAUUCAAUCUUGCAAUGCUGGCUGGGGGGAAUUCUGGGAGUUGAAGUCCACCCACCUUAAAAUAGCCAAGGUUAAAAAGCCCUAAUCUAAAACAUCUCUUUGCUUUUCAAUUCACCGUUUCCCAUUUCCCAUCUUCCAAUGCAACAGCGCUUCCUUUCGAGAAAACGAGCCUCAAUUUUGCUCCUCUUGAAGAGGGAAAAAUGUGGAGAGGCAGAUAAGGCAACCCAAACGCGGAUGUAGAACGACAGCAAUACGAAUUUCCUUUCGACAGUAUCAAAAAAAUAAAAGUUCCUUUUUCUGAAAAAGUAAUUCCACGGUGACAGAAAUGGAGUUUCUCUCAUAGAAGAAGAGAUGGCGGUGGACUUUACCUGCUCCUUUGACCACCUGAAGCACCAGAACAGCCACCCCGAAAAAAUUCAUUUUGGAGACGUGGGUCCCCAAAAGGCAAAGGGUGCAGCGGGAGUGUCGG